AUACGGAGGGUGCAAGCGUUAUCCGGAUUUAUUGGGUUUAAAGGGUGCGUAGGCGGCCUUUUAAGUCAGCGGUGAAAGUCUGUGGCUCAACCAUAGAAUUGCCGUUGAAACUGGGAGGCUUGAGUAUGUUUGAGGCAGGCGGAAUGCGUGGUGUAGCGGUGAAAUGCUUAGAUAUCACGCAAAACCCCGAUUGCGAAGGCAGCCUGCCAAGCCAUGACUGACGCUGAUGCACGAAAGCGUGGGGAUCAAACAGGAUUAGAUACCCUGGUAGUCCACGCAGUAAACGAUGAUCACUAGCUGUUUGCGAUACACUGUAAGCGGCACAGCGAAAGCGUUAAGUGAUCCACCUGGGGAGUACGCCGGCAACGGUGAAACUCAAAGGAAUUGACGGGA
rnacentral:rRNA from 1 species